rfam:Penicillium vulpinum strain IBT 29486 PENVTL_contig103 mitochondrial, whole genome shotgun sequence.
GACAAGUAUAUAAAGAAACUAUUAUGGAUGGUUAGCUAUAUAUUUCAAGAUAUUUAUAUCUAGUGAACAAUAUAAACUAGAAAUCAUAGAGAAAUCUAAUUAUAAGACAAAGUGAAUUGAAAUAUCUUAGUAACUUUAGUAAAAGAAAUCAAACGAGAUUGUUAUUUGGUGUCUUCCAAAUAGCAAAAGCCUUAAUAAAUAAUUAUUAAAUUUACCAUUAAAAUUUAUAUAAGAAAUAGUAAGUGGGUGUAUUUAUAUACCUUUUAACUAAAUCAAAUUAUUUAUAAAAUAUAUAUAAUAAUAUAUUUAAGUAUAACGGAAAAAAAUCUGUUGAAAAAUAGGGGAACCUUCCUCUAAGGCUAAAAAAAAUAUAUAAGCGAUAGAGUAACAGUACCGUGAGGGAAAUACCCUGAAAUAGUAGUUUUACAAGCAGCUCUAGUUAAAUUUUAAAUAAAUAAUAAGAGCGUACCUUUUGCAUAAUGGGUCAGCAAGUUAAUUUUAGAUGCAAGUAACAUCUCUUUUAUAAGCAUUUACAUAUAGUACAUUAUACAUACUAAAUAUAUAUAGUAGUUAUAAUAGUAUUAUAAAAUACGUAGUAUUUAGUACUCAAUGGAUAGAGACAUAAUAAGAUAUGUAUAAUGAUAUUAUGUAUAAUAUUGGUAUGUAAAUUUAUAAGUAAAAUUAGGAGGUAGAUACGUAGAUAAACCAAUUAUGAAAAAAUGAAUUAGUAUCUAGAAUUAGACCCGAAGGCUAGUGAUCUUACCAUGGUCAGGGUUAUAAAAGCCCGAACGGGUUAUCGUUGUAAAGAUAUCCGAUGAACUGUGGUAAGUUAGUGAAAGACAAAACUGACUAGUAUAGCUGGUUUUCCGCGAAACCUAUGUAAGUAGGUAAUUUAAUUAACAUCUUAGCAGGUACAGAACUGUGAUCUCGGACAAUAUCUAAGAUAUUUGUCAACAUCGGGGGGUUGUAGUGACUUUACCGGAGAGUAUUUGCACUCGGAAGGGCAAAGAUGAAUGUUAAAUAAUCGGACAUAGUGCGAUAAGGUUGUAUGUCUAAAGGGAAACAGCCCAGAACAAGAGUUAAGGUUCCAAAAUUAUUGUUAAGUGAAAUUAAGGAUGUUUUUUUUUAAAACAAUCAGGAAAUAGGCUUAGAAGCGGCCAUUUUUUGAAGACCUCGUAACAGAGCACUGAUUAAUAAAUUAGGAAAAAACGCCGAAAAUUUAACGGAUCUAAAUAAUAUACCGAAACCUUGUACACAAAUAAAAAUUAAAGCGCUCUUGCUUAGAUUUUAUGUUUACAUAAAUUUAAGCGCUGUGACUUAGGAUUUUUGUGGGGUAGCGGAACAUUGGAUUAAACAAAAUAUUAAUAUUUUUCUUAAAAUAUUAAAGAUCUUACAUAAAACAAUUGCGAUUUAUGUGUAUCUGUUAAAUCCAAGAGAGAAUGCUGACAUGAGUAACGAAAAAGGCUUUUAGCCUCGCCUGAAGCUUAUGGUUUCAUCUAAAAUCGGUGUCUAAAAAAAUUAAUCAAAAGAUAAUUUUGAUGACGUUUUAUGUUUUUUUUAUAUAAUAAUACCAAAACCUUUAACAAGUAAUAAAGGUUCUGGAAAAGUUUAUUUUAUUAUUUGAAGUGAAAUGUAUUUAAUACUCAUACUUAUUGGUACAAAAUUGUAAAUUAUAAUAUAUAAUACAUACUUUAUUAUGUUAUUGUGAUUUACAAUUUAUAGUUGAGUGAGUAAUAUAAAUAUAAUUUAACUAAGUAAUAGUCUUUAUCUAUUAUUAGAGAUAAUAAUUAUUAAUAAUUAAUUACCAUUAAAUUAUUAAUAUGUAUUUAUAUAUUAUUAUUAAUAGNNNNNNNNNNNNNNNNNNNNNNNNNNNNNNNNNNNNNNNNNNNNNNNNNNNNNNNNNNNNNNNNNNNNNNNNNNNNNNNNNNNNNNNNNNNNNNNNNNNNNNNNNNNNCGUACCUAGAAACUAACUCAAGUAAGCAAGUAGAGAAUACAAAGGCGUUUGAGAGAACAAUCAUUAAGGAACUCGGCAAAUUGACUCUGUACCUUUGGAAUAAGGAGGACCAUUAUUAUUAAAUUUAACAUAUAGUAAAGUAUGUAAUUAUAUAUGAAAAAUUAAAUUAAUAAUAAGAGGAAUCAUGAAAUAAUGUUGUACGACUGUUUAAUAAAAACACAGCACUCUGCAAAGAUAAAAAAUCAAAGUAUUGAGUGUGAUGUCUGCCCAAUGUCGGCUGGGUAACGGAUCUACCUUGAUUAUUAACUGAGGUUUUGAAGGACACCCCGAUUAAUGGCGGCCUUACCUAUGAGGGUCCUAAGGUAGCGAAAUACCUUGGCCGUUAAAUGCGGUCCUGCAUGAAUGACUUAACGAUGCAACAGCUGUCUCGAUGAUUGUCUCAGUGAAAUUGGAAUAGCAGUGCAGAUACUGUUUACCUCUAGAUAGACGAGAAGACCCUAUGCAGCUUUACUGUUACUAAUUAUAGGAGUGAAAUUUUAGGAUGAUUUAUAGUGUAUAAGGUAGUUGUUUAGAUAAUAAUGAAACACCUUUAUUCGAAUCCUUAUAUAUACUCUUAAUGAUUAGAAGGCAGUUUAUGCGGGGCACAGAUCCCACAAAAAGUACCUGGGUAUAUCCAAAGUUCAUAUUGUAAACUUGUAUAUUUAUAUACAAAUAUUUUAAUUUGUUCUAAUUAUUAUUAUAAUUAUACAGUUAUUAUUCGAUUAAAUUCUACAAUUAUUUUUUAUUUUAAGUAAGAUUUUAACUAUGCGGUGAAUAGAUGUAUUUUAAACUUUACCGGGCUUUGCACUAAUUUUAGUUCAAAGAUUUAAAAGUUUAUUUGUUAUAUUAAUAAAGUAUUUAUCUUUAUUAAUAUAAUGUUUAUUAAUACUUUAAAAGUUUAAUGGCUAAAUCUUGCUUUACUGUUUGACCUACAAGUCUAUCAGUCGCGUAAGCGGGGCAUAUGAUCACAAGAUGCAUUAAGGAAAGGUCUUGGAUUAUAGAAAAAGUUACGCUAGGGAUUUAUAACUGUGAGUCCUCCAAUAUUAUAAAAUAUUGGUAAU